UGGCUGAGUGGUAAAGCGCUUGGUUUCCGAACCGGAGGGUCCCGGGUUCGAAUCCUGG
rnacentral:tRNA from 1 species